rnacentral:rRNA from 1 species
AAUACGUGGCGAACGGCUCAGUAACACGUAGUCAACAUGCCCAAAGGACGUGGAUAACCUCGGGAAACUGAGGAUAAACCGCGAUAGGUCAUAAGUACUGGAAUGUUUUAUGGCUCAAAUCUACAUGGCCUCUGGAUUGGACUGCGGCCGAUCAGGCUGUUGGUGAGGUAAUGGCCCACCAAACCUGUUACCGGUACGGGCUCUGAGAGGAGGAGCCCGGAGAUGGGCACUGAGACAAGGGCCCAGGCCCUAUGGGGCGCAGCAGGCGCGAAACCUCUGCAAUAGGCGAAAGCUUGACAGGGUUACUCUGAGUGAUUCCCGCUAAGGGAAUCUUUUGGCAUCUCUAAAAACGAUGCAGAAUAAGGGGUGGGCAAGUCUGGUGUCAGCCGCCGCGGUAAUACCAGCACCCCGAGUGGUCGGGACGAUUAUUGGGCCUAAAGCAUCCGUAGCCGGUCUUGCAAGUCUUCCGUUAAAUCCACCUGCUUAACAGAUGGGCUGCGGAAGAUACUACAAGACUAGGAGGCGGGAGAGGCAAGCGGUACUCAGUGGGUAGGGGUAAAAUCCUCUGAUCCAUUGAAGACCACCAGUGGCGAAGGCGGCUUGCCAGAACGCGCUCGACGGUGAGGGAUGAAAGCUGGGGGAGCAAACCGGAUUAGAUACCCGGGUAGUCCCAGCUGUAAACGAUGCAGACUCGGUGAUGGGCCGGCUUCAUGCCAGCUCAGUGCCGCAGGGAAGCCGUUAAGUCUGCCGCCUGGGGAGUACGGUCGCAAGACUGAAACUUAAAGGAAUUGGCGGGGGAGCGCCACAAGGGGUGAAGCCUGCGGUUCAAUUGGAUUCAACGCCGGG